rnacentral:rRNA from 1 species
GGACCCGCACAAGCAGCGGAGCGUGUGGUUUAAUUCGAGGCUACACGAAGAACCUUACCUGGGUUUGACAUGCUAGUGGUAGCGACGCGAAAGCCGAGCGACCCUUCGGGGAGCUAGCACAGGUGCUGCAUGGUUGUCGUCAGCUCGUGCCGUGAGGUGUUAGGUUAAGUCCUGCAACGAGCGCAACCCCUUCCGUUAGUUAAAUCUCUCUAGCGGGACUGCCGGGGUAACCCGGAGGAGGGUGGGGAUGACGUCAAAUCAGCAUGGCCUUUAUAUCCAGGGCUACACACACGCUACAAUGGUCGGCACAGUGGGCUGCAAUACCGCAAGGUGGAGCCAAUCCUCAAAGCCGGCCCCAGUUCAGAUUGGAGGCUGCAACCCGCCUCCAUGAAGUCGGAGUUGCUAGUAACCGCAGGUCAGCUAUACUGCGGUGAAUACGUUCCCGGGUCUU